UCCUAUGAGAGCUACUGGAAGCUGAAGUU
rnacentral:piRNA from 1 species